rnacentral:rRNA from 1 species
UACGUAGGGGGCAAGCGUUAUUCGGAAUUAUUGGGCGUAAAGGGCGCGUAGGCGGCUAUGCAAGUGACGGGUGAAAUCCCUCGGCUUAACCGAGGAACUGCCUGUCAGACUGUGUGGCUUGAGACCGGGAGAGGUGAGUGGAAUUCCCAGUGUAGCGGUGAAAUGCGUAGAUAUUGGGAGGAACACCAGUGGCGAAGGCGGCUCACUGGACCGGAACUGACGCUGAGGCGCGAAAGCGUGGGGAGCAAACAGG